rnacentral:pre_miRNA from 1 species
UGAAAGACAUGGGUAGUGAGAUGUUGGCGUGGUAGUUCCACACCUCUCACUACUUUGUCGUUCACG